UAAAAAAAGCAGUAAGGGGUCUUCUUCAGCUAAGCAUAUUCCUCUGCUUUCUCUGUGAUUCCUCCUCAUUGCGUCCCGGUUUUGCUCUGGAUUUUUCGCUUCCAUCCUUCAUCGCCUGCUCCAGUUCCGCUCCCUUCCCCGUUUCCUAAGAGAUACGUUGGUGGAAGUGUUCUGCCUCCCCCUCCCGCUCCUCCUCCACCGCCUCCACACUCACGUCACCUGCGCGCGCCUCCACCUCCCGAGUUAUCGGCGGCGGCAGCUCUAACCCUGCCGCGAUGAAGGUGGGGAGCCGCGGCUAAUCAGGGCACGGUGGAUGCGCUACGUCGUCGAUGACCUCGAGGUCGGGGUCUCCGUGCUGGCUUGAUGCUCGGGCUAUGAGGGACGCGUCGGCUGGGUUUGCACUCAUGACGGUGAGCUCAACGCUGAUCUCUAGAUCGCCAAGUGACAUGGAGGUGGCGCCAGCGAGGUCGUCGUGGACGCACCUACUGCUGCUGCACCCGCUGCCGCUGCCGGGCGAGGGGGAAUGGCGUGCCGUGGGUCCGGGAGGUCGCUUCCAUUGCCGACGCCGAGGAUGGUCGACAGGGACUGGAACGUGCCAGCAGCGGAAGCGCCCAGGGUUUUAGAGACAGUGGGCAAAAGGAUGUCGUCGUUGCUCACGCGAGUUAUUGAUUUGGACAUAUAUCAUGAUGAGGUAGCUGUCGGGGUGCGCCCUCGACGAGGGCACAUAUGAGGCUCGCGGUGCCUGCGCUGGCGCGUGUAGGAAGGAUCGACGCCGCCCGCAAGAUGUUUGGUGAAAUGAAGCAGAGAGAGGGAGUCAGGCACGCGCUAACGGGGGUGUAUUCCGUGAUGGUAGACGUGCUGGUAAGGCAGGGAGGCUCGACGCGGCCAUGGGGAUGUACAGAGAGAUGGUGGUCGUGGGCCAUCGGGCGAGCACAACAGUGAGCACCGCCAUGGUGGAGGGACUGGUGAGGUCUAGGAAGUGUAACUCAUUUCAAGACCUAACAAAUACAUGGUGCAAUGUGAUCAGCCAUUGCAUGGAAGUCAUCCUGAACAUAAAAAGCAAAGGGGUCAAGGGUGAUAUGGCUGAAUGUCUGAACAACAGAAAACAGAGUACCUAAAGAAGCAGCGUGAGGCGGGCUCGCCAACAAAAGUGAUGUUUCCCAGCUAACUCUAUUGAUCCUGAACAUCCUUAAUCAUCCACGCCACUUGUGUCACCUGGCAUCUCGAGGUUUGCUACAAAACCUAACGUUCAAGGAUGUUCUUCUGUAGUAGGCAGCCCGGUCCUACCGCGGCAAAUGCGUGUACCUCUGGGCAAUAUUUCAAAUGUUUAUUCAACUCCACAGUCGAAUGUCAAACAAGGCAUAUCGAUGCUUGCUUUGGGCUCCGCAAUUCAAUCAUGUUCCUCUCCAUUCGGAGUUAUAUUAGGCAUGAAUUCUGUGGGUACACAAUACAAUUGGAGCACUUUUAGGCAAUGUACCCCUGAUGUUCAGAUGGUCCCAACUCAACAAUCUCUCAUCUGUAGUCCAGGCUUGAUUUCAAUGGAUACCCAGAUGUGCAAGUGGUACUGCCACAAUAGUCUCAUACCUCUCCAAACAUGCCAAGCACUGUCAAUGUCGGUACUUAGGGGUAUAACUCCCCUGGGACUGCUAUUCAAGGUUCGAACUAUGUUAGGAACUUGCUUGCAAGCUUCCAGACUGGUGGUGUUUGGUUAUGUUUUUGGUAUAGUUAAUGUACUUUACAGGAAUUAUGCACACUUCAUAGGUGGUGUUCUUGUACAUAAAUAUUUCUAUGAUGUUAUUGUGAAGAUGCUAUUUUUGUUAUAUUUAUGGUAGAUAAGAAAUCAAGAGUCAUGGUAUUGUCCUAAUGUUAGACCUUAGACAUCGUAGAGCACUAUUGCAUUAUGAAUUAAGUAUUACUUCAGGAUCAAGUUAGGAUCCACAACCGAGUGCUACCACUACUUCCUCGCAGCAGCAGGGUAAGUUUUUAAUAAAAAUGGCUCCGCUCCCUCCUCAGAGAUAAAGUCUUCGUGUUGAUUCCAUUAACAAGCUCAAGGAAUGCCUUGUGUUUGUCUGCUUAUUUGCAACCAACAACCAGAAUCAAUUCACUGGCGUGCAAACUUACGCACCAGUGCAAUCUCUGUGGCCAACAACUAGCCCUGCCACCGCUGCCCUGUCAUUGUUC